CAGUCGCCGCGGUAAUACGUAGGGUGCGAGCGUUGUCCGGAAUUAUUGGGCGUAAAGAGCUUGUAGGUGGUUUGUCGCGUCUGCUGUGAAAAUCCGAGGCUCAACCUCGGACUUGCAGUGGGUACGGGCAGACUAGAGUGUGGUAGGGGAGACUGGAAUUCCUGGUGUAGCGGUGGAAUGCGCAGAUAUCAGGAGGAACACCGAUGGCGAAGGCAGGUCUCUGGGCCAUUACUGACACUGAGAAGCGAAAGCAUGGGGAGCGAACAGGAUUAGAUACCCCCGUAGUCCCUGUCUCUUAUAC
rnacentral:rRNA from 1 species